rnacentral:rRNA from 1 species
UACGUAGGUGGCAAGCGUUGUCCGGAAUUAUUGGGCGUAAAGCGCGCGCAGGUGGUUCCUUAAGUCUGAUGUGAAAGCCCACGGCUCAACCGUGGAGGGUCAGUGGAAACUGGGGAACUUGAGUGCAGAAGAGGAAAGUGGAAUUCCAAGUGUAGCGGUGAAAUGCGUAGAGAUUUGGAGGAACACCAGUGGCGAAGGCGACUUUCUGGUCUGUAACUGACACUGAGGCGCGAAAGCGUGGGGAGCAAACAGG